CCCUGCCCUUUGUACACACCGCCCGUCGCUACUACCGAUUGAAUGGCUUAGUGAGACCUCUGGAUUGGCUGGCACUCUUUGGCAACAAGGACGCUAGCCGAGAAAUUGGUCAAAUUUGGUCAUUUAGA
rnacentral:rRNA from 1 species